rnacentral:rRNA from 1 species
UACAUGUGGGGCAAGCGUUGUUCGGAAUUACUGGGCAUAAAGGGUGCGUAGGCGGUUCUGCUAAGUCACUGGUGAAAGUUUUCGGCCCAACCGGAAAAUUGCCUGUGAUACUGGUGAGCUCGAGUGCGUGAGGGGUUGGGGGAACGAGCAGUGUAGCGGUGAAAUGCGUAGAUAUUGCUCGGAAGGCCGGAGCCGAAGGGGCCCAACUGGUACGCAACUGACGCUGAGGCACGAAAGCGUGGGGAGCAAACAGG